UACGGAGGAUCCAAGCGUUAUCCGGAUUCACUGGGUUUAAAGGGUGCGUAGGUGGAAUGACAAGUCAGUGGUGAAAACCUGCAGCUUAACUGUAGAACUGCCAUUGAUACUGUUAUUCUUGAGUACAUUUGAUGUGAGUGGAAUGUGUCGUGUAGCGGUGAAAUGCUUAGAUAUGACACAGAACACCAAUUGCGAAGGCAGCUCACAAAAACUGUAACUGACACUGAGGCACGAAAGCGUGGGGAUCAAACAGG
rnacentral:rRNA from 1 species